rnacentral:misc_RNA from 1 species
AAGUCGUAACAAGGUCUCCGUUGGUGAACCAGCGGAGGGAUCAUUACAAGAGUUGCAAAGCUCCAGACCAUUGUGAACCUACCCCCCAUCGUUGCUUCGGCGGGCGGCCCCGGCCCAAGCUCGGGGCCGUUCAGGCCCGUACGGGCGCCCGCCGGAGGUAUAUAACCAUUGACCUUUCGUACGGCCUCUCUGAGUCUCUAGUACCUGAAUGGGGUCAAAACUUUCAACAACGGAUCUCUUGGUUCUG